AACCAUAGAAACCUGCGGAGUACCUGCGGAAGGAUCAUCAUCGAAUUCAUAUCCCCCUCCUUUCCCGGAGGGGGACCCAUGAUAAACCCUUCUGUGCACCGUAAACCGUUCACUUUGGCAGGCUUUGGUGGCUCGCCUCCAACCUCGCGUUCCCUCCUCCCUAAGGGGUGUUACGCGUGGCGGCCUGCCGGAGUCCCAUUAAAAAAACUCGUUUUCGAACACGUCUGAAAAUUUCCUUUG
rnacentral:misc_RNA from 1 species